rnacentral:tRNA from 1 species
GGCGGUCUUCGCCUGAUGCGGCGUGGCCGCGCCGCUCAUGACGGCCCAGACCUGGGUGUUCAUAUACACCUGGCCCUCG